GCGUUGUUAGCUCAGCUGGAUAGAGCGUCUGGCUACGGACCAGAAGGUCGGGGGUUCGAAUCCCUCACAGCGUG
rnacentral:tRNA from 1 species